ACGGCUCAGUAACACGUGGAUAACCUGCCCUUAGGUUCGGCAUAACUCCGGGAAACUGGAGAUAAUUCCGAAUAGGUCAAAUAUGCUGGAAUGCUUUUUGACCAAAAGACCUCGGUUGCCUAAGGAUGGAUCUGCGGUCUAUCAGGUAGUAGUGGGUGUAACGUACCUACUAGCCUACGACGGAUAUGGGUUGUGAGAGCAAGAGCCCAGAGAUGGAUUCUGAGACAUGAAUCCAGGCCCUACGGGGCGCAGCAGGCGCGAAAACUUUACAAUGCGGGAAACCGCGAUAAGGGGACACCGAGUGCCAGCAUUUAUGUUGGCUGUCCACAUGUGUAAACGGCAUGUGUUAGCAAGGGCCGGGCAAGACCGGUGCCAGCCGCCGCGGUAACACCGGCGGCCCGAGUGGUAAUCACUUUUAUUGGGUCUAAAGGGUCCGUAGCCGGUUUGAUCAGUUCUUCGGGAAAUCUGACAGCUCAACUGUUAGGCUUCCGGGGAAUACUGUCAGACUUGGGACCGGGAGAGGUAAGAGGUACUACAGGGGUAGGAGUGAAAUCUUGUAAUCCCUGUGGGACCACCAGUGGCGAAGGCGUCUUACCAGAACGGGUCCGACGGUGAGGGACGAAAGCUGGGGGCACGAACCGGAUUAGAUACCCGGGUAGUCCCAGCCGUAAACGAUGUUCGCUAGGUGUCAGGGGCGGUGCGACCGCUUCUGGUGCCGUAGGGAAGCCGUGAAGCGAACCACCUGGGAAGUACGGCCGCAAGGCUGAAACUUAAAGGAAUUGGCGGGGGAGCACUACAACGGGUGGAGCCUGCGGUUUAAUUGGAGUCAACGCCGGG
rnacentral:rRNA from 1 species